rnacentral:lncRNA from 1 species
GCCAGUUAGCAGGCGCUGAAAGGCCCUGGCUUCGUGGGUGUCUCUGAGCCAGGCUGGCGCUCGUGCGCGCUGGGCUCCGCGCUCAGUCGCUGGGGUGGGAGGCCAGGGGAAGCCGCCGCUGCAGGCCGAGCCGCGAGAUUUGCAGUGCAGGAGCCGAAGCGGCGGGCAUGGUGGGAGGUCCUUGGAAGCUGCUGCGGGGAACUGAAACGGCUCUGAUAGGCAGGCACAAAGACUUCUCUAGGACCCCCUACAAUGCUUUACGUUUGCCUCGUGCUUUAGAUUUCACAAAGUGCUUACACAUAACACGACCCUCCUCACUCGACCUGGUGAGAUGGGUAGCAUUUUGUGGAAGAUUCCGAGACUCAAGUUUGAGAGACUCACCCAAGGUCAGAGUUGGCGAGUGGGCGGUCCGUGGACAGGUGCGCAGGUCUCAGCGCCAUUUGGCCCGCGCUGCUGCUUCCUGUGUGUACUGGAUGUUCUCUAGGCUCGCCCAGCGUGGAAGCCCCGAGUUACCAGCCGCAACGUGGAAACCACAGAAGGGGAAAUAGAUGACUUUUGGUGAAGGCGAAUUUUACUUUAUCAUUUUGUAUUGUCAAACUUUUUUUUACUAUUAUGCUUUUGUAAUUUUAAAAAUCGAAGACGAGGUUAAAUAGAAGAAAGGGGACAGUUCCCUUCUAUUUAACUUCAUCCUCGAUUUUUAAAAUUUGAAGUUGUAAUCAAAACUAUUAGUAAACAGAGAGGAAUAGAUAUUAGAUUUAUUGCAAUAGAAAUAGUUUCAUAUUGCAGCUAUUGAGGACCAUAUGUCCCAGACAUAUGGUGUGGCACCUGCACUGUUCUUAUGGGGGCCGUAGAACAGAAAAUCUGUAAUGUCUAGGAAAUCUGGGCGAUGUGAUAAAUGUACAUGUUAUGGGGAUCCGGAGGAAGGGAGACAAACCUGAGGUAUCAUUUAUUAAUUAAACAGUACUUACUAAAUAGCUUUUUUGUGCCCGUUGUGGACUAGGUGCUUGAGAAAUGUAAAAUUCAUUCAUUCACACACACAAAGUUUGAAACAACUAUUCUAAGCACAAGGAACUUACUCAGUAUUUUGAGGAGACUGAACUAGUACAUGUUGAACACUUAAAUAACAAUAUAAAAUAGUAUUUAAAUGUCAAAAUGAAUGGAGUUAGCAGUAACUCUCUAGGACUAGAGAAAAAUGGAAUUUCCAAAGUGAAGUUCCUUUAUACAUAACUACCCUUCCGAAACUUAGAUGAACUUAGAGAUAAGACAGGAACAACAAAUAGGUAGAAGCAUUUUCAUUAUUCCAAGAUUGUUAUUCUUGCAAAUGAUGUAUUUGUACAUGUUUAAUAGAUGCUGUAUUGGAGGUAGUAUACCAUGAAUACAGGAUUUGCAGAAAGAGGGGCAUGGUAAUUAAUUAUUUCUUGAAUAAUUUUCGAAACAAGGCAAAAUCGGGGCCUCUUAAAUAUCCCGUUAAGGAAGAAGCUCCUCCUCUGCAAGUACCCAAGUCGGUAUCUCCAGUCCAACCUCACAAAAGUGUGCACAGCCAAAUCACAGACAGGAGGAAUAUUUCUUCCAUAAAUUAAAAAUAUACUAGAUCAAAAUGUUAAGUCCCUGGACAACUUAUUCCACCUCAUCAUAUUUACAAGAUUGAAAAAAAUAAGUUUGAGAUUGGACGAAAGAUGGUCAUAACUGGAAACAUUUUUAAAAUUAAUUUUUAUGCCCGUUGAGUAUGGUGGUGGGCACCUGCGGUCCUAGCUACUCAGGAGGCUGAGGUGGGAGGAUGGCUUGAGCCCACAAGUUUGAGGCUACAGUGAGCUGUGAUUGUGCCACUGCACUCUAGCCUUGGUGACAGAGUGAAACUUUGUCUCUUAAAAAAAAACUUAUGCCUAUUGAAAUAAAUAAUAAUGAAUUAUACAACAUACACUUUUCAAAAUAUACACAUGUAUUGGUGUAUGUGUAUUAAUUUUUAUUCUUAAUUUAUAUUUUAAAUUUAUAUUGUUAAUUAGCCUACAGACCCCCGGAGAGACCUUGGGAGAAUGUGCUUUAUGGAUCUCUAUUUUGAGUAAAGUUUAGAGUUUGUUUUUCCUUAAAGCUUGAUUUAUUCAAAAUAAUGUCUAGGCUGGGUCCUAGAUUUAGAUGGCUUAAAAUGCACAGGUUAAUUAUCCAAUAAAUUUGUUCAGUAUGGAGCUGGUCAAAUGCAAAGUAUAUGUUGGAAUUGUUCUAAAACUGGAUUGUGGUAAUGGGUGCACAAUUGAUUAAAUUUACUAGACUCUUUGAAUUGUACACUUUAAAUAGGUGAAUUCUAUGACAUCUAAAUUAUACCUUAAUAAGGCUGUUUUAAAAACUAAGCAAUGCCAAAAUACCUAUCUGCUGCAUUGAAAGUAAUAACUAAAAUUGGUCAUCUAGAUAUGUUGACAUCCUUAAGGAAACAUCCUAAUGGGUGAAGAAAUAAAGUGGUAGUAGAAACCCUUCGGUUACAGAAGCAGACUGGUUCUUUGACCUGUGAAAUAUUGAAUAAAAUCCAGGGUAGGCCAGACAAGGUGGCUCAUGCCUGUAAUCCCAGCAGUUUGGGAGGCUGAGGUGGGUGGAUCACUUGAAUCCAGGAGUUUGGGACCAGCCUGGGCAACAUGGUGAAACUCCAUCUAUACAAAAAAUAAAAAAAUUAUCCAGGCUUGGUGGAGCAUGCCUGUGGUCCCAGCUACUUGGGAGGCUGAGUUGGGAGGAUCACCUGAGCCCAAGGAGGUCGAGGCUUCUGUGAGCCAUGAUUGAACCACUGUGCUUCUGCCUGGAUGACAGAGUGAGCCCCUGUCUCAAAAAUAAAAUAUAAUUCUGGGGUAGCACAGACACUCAUUUUAUUUUUAUUUAUUUUUCUUUUCUUUUUUGAGAUAGUGUCGUGCUUUGUCACCCAGACUGGAGUACGGUGGUGUAAUCAUAGCUCACUCUAGCCUCAACCUUUCAAGCUCAAGCAAUCCUCCCACCUCAGCCUCUGGAGUAGCUGGGACCACAGGUUAUCCAGAUCUCUUUGAAUCUUGUUCCUGUCAACUGACUUAUUAGUGCCAUCUCCUAAUUCUGUGUCAACUUGACAAGCCUGCUGUCUUUCCCUUCAUCCAAGUUGCCAAUAAAAAUGCUCAACAAGGCAGAGUGCUUUAGCAAGACCUGGAGAGAUCUCCUACAGGUUUAUCUUUUAAAAACCGUAUACCUGUUUUACAAGGAUCUCACAAAGAUUAACAAUAUGUAUGCUAUGAAGGAUCCCAUCUGCCUCAGAGAAGAUACGCUUUUCAUCACAGACUGUAUACUUUUUACAGUUCUUAUCUAUUUAUUCUACUGCAAAAACUGCCGAUUCUACAGAGCCUAUUAAUUCCACUGGGAAAACAUGUACGGAAUGUGCUCAUGAGUAUGGGACUUCCUGUAAUUGUUGGAAAGAAGAAAAAGGCUGAUAGAAAAAACAUUUUGGCCUGGCACUCAGGAGAAAACUUCUGCUGAGGAAUGAACAGGGAAAAACAAUGAUGGACCACCUCAAGGAACAAAUCGGAUAGCUUCGACUUCCCCUCUGGAAGCCCUGCUGCGCUGGGAUGCACCUAUCCCUACUUCUUAGAUGUUCCCAUAUGUUCUCAACAGCAUUCUGUCCCUCCUAAGCAGUGUCACUAAAGCUAGCUGGUCUCUUAGGAUUGUUACCUUUAUUGAUGAUUUUCCCUUUGUGCUUCCUGGUGUCUGGCACCAAGACCACACCCCUACUUCUCCAAUGGCCCUUUCCCUCAGUAAGCUUAGCUUAUUGCUCACCUCCCACCUUCUCCCUGAACCCCAGCAGAAAGACAUGGACCUGUCAGAUGCUCCCGAUAUUUAAGUGUCUAUGCCAAAAUCUCAUGUGGACCUUGUUUGUUCAAAUGAGUUACUAUUGAGAGAGACAGCAAAGUCAUCUUCUUUAGGGAACCUGAAAAUUGUCUUCAGUCUGAAAAUUGUCUUCAGAAGGAGCAAAAGAUAGGUGAGAGGGAGAGGAUAAGAGGAGAGCCAUGUAUUCUCCUGACCAUGAGCUCGCGGUAGAUAAACCCCUGGUUACCUGAAGGCAGCACCGUGAGCACCAUCCGCUGUGACUCAUCGGAUGCUUGAUUAAUCCACUUGCUUGGGUGUCCAUGGAGCUGCCACUCUGCCACCCUACACCAGUACAUUCCUGCAUCCUCCAUCUCCACCUGAUGAAGCUUCAGGACAAAGUCUGUAGAGGAUGAACGGUAACAGUGCAGGUGCCUCCUGAGCCCCUCUUCCCCAUACUCCAGCAAGCCAUCAUGUUGCAAGUGCACCAGCAAUUUACUUCCAGAGUUUUCUCUGUUCCAGUACCACAUCACAGAGUACAGAGUGGCUGAGCUGCCUACACUCUCCAGGCUGCAGCGGAUGGCCACUUCUCUGUGCUCAGUCACAUUUUCGGUCCAGUACACUUUGGAGACACGUACCUUACUUCCUAGAAAAUAAAAUGGCAGUAAAUUAGAGAAUGCAGACUUUCAGAUUUGGAUACCACCUCUGAAAAAUCUAGUUCUCACUGGGAAGAUCUUAUAUUCUUUAGACAUCAGUGCAUUCAUUUUAUUUUUUUUAUUAUUUUUAUUUUUUGAGACAGAGUCUUGCUCUGUCACCCAGGCCAGAGUGCAGUGGCAUGAUCUCAGCUCACUGCAACCACUGCCUCCUGGGUUCAAGCAAUUCUCCUGCCUCAGCCUCCCAAGUGGCUGGGAUUACAGGCGUGUGCCACCAUGCCCAGCUGAUUUUUGUAUUUUUAGUAGAGACGGGGUUUCACCAUGUUGGCCAGAUUGCUCUUGAGCUCCUGGCUUCAAGUGAUCUGCCCACCUCAGCCUCCCAAAGUGUUGGGAUUACAGGCAUGAGCCACCACGUCCAGCCACAUUCAUUUUAAUUCUUGUCCUUGGUCCCUGUUUUUCUCUCACAUUUGCCAGGACAUUCUCUGCUAGGAAUCAAACCAGCCUCUUUCCUUCUUUAGCCCAACUGCUUGCCUGCUGGACCCUGCCAUUGAAAACUACACAGCUUCUGCAGGGCCCUCUGCCUGCUGCUUUUACUUACCCUUGAUUCACUCCUCCUCUACUUCCCAAAGUGGUCAUUCACAACUUUUAGCAGCUCCCUCAAGCCAUGUAUUCCACCAGUACCCCUCAUUCUUAGCAAAUUACUCUCCUCCCAUACACCCAGAUAUUAUCUUGGGUGUAAACGCAGAGAGAGAGGACGCCAUCCAAGAGACUGAACAUUUUGAUGCAAGUGUUAGAAGGCCAUCCAUGGGAGCUAUUUAGAUGAUUGGAUUAGACUGAGUUUUAAAGAGAUUUUGACAUUUACUUUUUUUCCCCUUGCUAACCAGCAGGUGAGGAUUUAGAAUAACAGCCAAAGUAGUUACAAACAAAAUAAAGAAAUUAUAGUGUGCAUUACAUUUUCAAUUCCACUACAAACACAUUUAUUUAUUUAUUUAUUUAUUUAUUUAUUUUUAUUUUAUUUAUUUUUUGAGACGGAGUCUCGCUCUGUCGCCCAGGCUAGAGUGCAGUGGCACAAUCUUGGCUCACCGCAACCUCUGCCUCCCGGGUUCAAGCGAUUAUCCUGCCUCAGCCUCCCGAGCAGUUGGGAUUACAGGCAUGGGCCACCAUGCCUGGCUAACUUUUUUAUUUUUAGUAGAGACAGGGUUUCACCAUGUUGGCCAGGCUGGUCUCGAACUCCUGACCUCAGGUGAUCCGCCCACCUUGGCCUCCCAAAGUGCUGGGAUUAUAGGCAUGAGCCACUGUGCCUGACUCAAACACAUUUAUUAAUCUGUCUUUAAGAGAAUAAUUCUGUCUGAUCUUGGACUCUUUCUUAGUUACCAUUUUUACUCUCCCCUUUCCUUCAUGGAGUAGCACGUGGAAUAUUAGCACAUGGAAUACUGUUGCUGUUUCCUUGUCUCAAAUUACUUCCUACUUUAUUGUGAUCUGGCUUCCAAUCCCAUCACUUUACUUGGCCAGGGCCCAAUUUCCCAGUUCAAGGGACCCUCUAGUCCUUUUCUGUCCUCUAUGUGGUUUUUGUUACUGGAGUCCAAUUUCUCCUUGAAAUUGACUUCUUUUCUUCCAACCUCAGAGAAAAUAUCCCCCUUACAACUCUGACCAGUCAUUCUCAGCAUCUUUCUGGGGCCUCUUGGUUAACUUGUUCCCUAAAUGACGUGCACAACCGGAAGUCCACAGCCACACCAAGCCCACAGGUAUGUUCUGCUUGACACUUGCAGUAUUUUAAGAGAACUGGGCUGGGCGCAGUGGCUCACGCCUGUAAUCCCAGCACUUUGGGAGGCCAAGGCAGGUGGAUCACCUGAGGUCAGGAGUUCAAGACCAGCCUGAGCAACAUGGUAAAACCCUGUCUCUACUAAAAUUACAAAAAUUAGCCAGGCAUGGUGGCACACACCUGUAGUCCCAGCUACUCUGGAGGCUGAGGCAGGAGAAUUGCUUGAACCCAGGAGGAGGAGGUUGCAGUGAGCUAAGAUCAUACCACUGACUCCAGCCUGAGCAACAGAGCAAGACUCCGUCUAAAAAAAAAGAAAAAGAAGAAGUGAAUUAGUUGUGGACAUUCUCAAACUGGGAGAUGUCACCAAAAAAGAUUUUAGGCAUCUCUAGAUAUGCAAAAAGAUCUGACAACACGGAGCCCACAUUUCUACAUGGGAAGCACUUGAGCUAAGCAGUGGCUGCCUCCUGAAGACGGCCAUGCACAUGUGGUCAAGAGUUUGGUGUGGAUGACUGGGAGACAGAAUGCCAAUCACACAGAUGGGAAAUGCAGAAGUGCAAAUGAGCAUGGUGAGAUGGCAGAGAUGCUAAGUGCAAUUUAGGGCAUGCUGAGUAUGGGGGCAUCCAAGUAGAAAUGUACAGCAGGCAGUUGGGUAUGAAGGCUUGGAGCUCAGGAGAUCAGGGCUAAGCACAAAAUCUCAGAGUUAUCAUCUAGAAGGUGGUAGUUGAAACCAGGGCAGUGUUUAAGAAAUUCUGAGGAAAGCAGAGAAUAAGAAGCAAAACAGGCCCAGGAUCUAUCCCUGAGGAACACACACAUUUAGCAGGGAGAAGAAGGGGCUUGAAGAACAUACAGAAGGGAAGCCAGAGGGCAGGAAGAGACCCCAAACCAAGCUGCUGUUCUGCCCUUGUUGUCCCACCAGACUGGGAGCUCCUUAAGGGCCAGGGCUGUGCCUUCUUUAUCUUUGUAUUCCACUGCCUAACACAUAGUAAUGCUCAAUUAUCAUCUAAUUUUUUUUUAGCGUUACCUUGAAAAUAGUAUUUCAAGCACCAAAUUAGAUCAACUUCUCUGCAUUGUGCUGUAGGAUCUUGGCCAGUUCCUGAACCUUGGCUGUGACAUUCAUUUAAUUUUAAUCAACACUGGAAGUGACCUAACCUAUGCUGAGAGACCUAAUCAACCCUGCCCACAUUUAGACAGUGGCACUCUUAGACCAGUGCGGAACUUCCAUUACAUUUUUAAAGAUCUCCUGAGGAAGAGGAGACUCCCUCAGUAAGCCAUUCCAACAGUUAACUACUCUUAUUUGCCUUAUGUUUAGGCAGCUAAAUGUUGAGAAGCAAUUUCUCCACACAUCCCCAUAGAGUUGUACAGUUUCUGUUCACAGUGGGAGAAAUAUGCUUCGUAUUACUCUUUCUCUGCCAAAUUACAGUAGAGCCCCACUGGAAUGACACAGCUUGUUAUGAUAGAGAUCUGGAGAUACGAUACCCUGGGUAGCUGCACAGACCAGGCUGCCAGGUUGAGAAGCAAACCAAUCAAAGGGAUAUUGCUCCUACCUCAGCUCCCCAAAACCUCAGAUUGGAUUGCCUUAAGUGACCUCCCCUCCUUUGGUGGACUACUCGGUCUUGCAGUCAUGUGUAGGUAGAUACUGUUCCUAUGACUUUAGGUCAUAUUUUUACUUCCACAUAAUCACUCCAUAGAACAGCUGCCCAAGAGAAAACAGCCGUCAGACAGACAGACAUUGUGAGGAUACACUCGCAAGGUUUACCUGUGGGCUUGAGUUUCAAUUCUGUUAGUCCUGACUUCUUUUCUCCAAGCUUGUGCCAAGUGCCAUUUGUAGACAGGAGCCAUUCCUCCACAGCACAGUGAUAUUUGCCCCGAUCGCUGUCUUCCACAUUCAGAAUGUGCAGCUGAAAUAAGUCUUGGGAAACCUUCUCAGUAUGAAAUUUUUGUUUUCUCUGUGGGGUGUGAAACUCAUCCCCAGUUUUUAUAACAUUGGUUUGGUCCAUCUCCAGGAUCUUUAGCCAAGAGGCAUUAGUGGAAACAGGAGAAAAAUACCAAAUAAUGGCUAACUGAAGGUUUCCAUUGGACCGGGACAAGAUGCUACAUUCUAUAUCAGUGUUGGAGUUGAUGGAGAGCUCUUGGACUUGACUCCUUGAAUUCACUUUUAGCUUGCUCUCUAAAUUUAAAAAAAUGAAACAGUUACUUUGCUAUGAAAUAGAAAGUUAAGGUAGUAGAGACAUUAGAGGUCAAGUAUGACACUGCAUCCUCCCGCCAUCAUAUGGGUGAACUCCCUCUACAGUAGCCCCACUCACUGCUCAUACAGCUUUUGAACAGCAUCACUAGCUGACAAGGCAGCCCAUUUCAUCUCUGGACAGCUCUGCCCCUCCAGAAUGCUUUCUGAUAUCAAGUUGAACUUUAUCUCUUCAUAACUUCCAUCCACUAGUCCUAGUGCUACCUGUGCUUGGUAGGGGUGGUGUGGCAGAGGGAGUGUCACACAGACAAGCCCAGUAUCUCUCUUCCACAUGAUACUGCUUCGGUAUUUAAGCACAAGCAUCUCUUCUGUCAUAUUUCAUGUAUCAGAUUGGGAGAAAGUGGCCCUAUUAAUGCUGUGUUUGUGUGUUUACUAUGCAGAGUACUUCUGGAUUCACAAUUUCCAAACUCUAGUUGUAUCUGCCUUCAAACGUGGGUAAACAAAAGGAAGUUGUACAUGAGUGAUUAAAACUGUGUGUGUCUUUGCAGUCACUUAACUGUGGGAACAUUGUAUAGAUAUGGAGCCAACUAAUCUUUGACCCCAGCAGCUUUUCUGCUUUGUCAGAAAGAUGAGUGACAAUCCUUGUUCCCAAAUCUUCUUCUAGCAUCUUGCUGACAUCACCCACUCUACUUUUUUAACUGCUUAUUGAUGUUGCCCAUAGGUCCCUUUACUCUUCCUUCAACAAAUAUUUAUGAAGCACACACUAUAUUAUGUGCCAGACAAUUCCAGGCCCUGUGGAUAUCUUCCCUCAGUGGCUCACACUCUAGAGGGAGACAAGUGCAGGGACAGAGGCUUAGAGAUGGUGCCAAGUGCCAUUUGUAGACAAAGAGCCAUUCUACCACAGCACAGUGAUAUUUGCCCUGAUCACUGUCUUCCACAUUUAGAAUGUGCAGCUGAAAUAACUCUUGAGAAACCUUUCUCAAGUGUGAGAUUUUUGGUUGUUUUGUUUUGUUUGAGAUGGAGUCUUGCUCUGUCGCCCAGGCUGGAGUGCAGUGGCAUGAUCUUGGCUCACUGCAACCUCCACUUCCUGUGCUCAAGCGAUCCUUGUGCCUCAGCCUCCUGAGUAGCUGGGACUACAGGUGCACGCCACCAUGCCUGGCUAAUCUGUGCAUUUUCAGUAGAGACGGGGUUUCACUAUGUUGGCCAGGCUGGUCUCAAACUCCUGACUUCAGGUGAUCUGCCCGCCUUGGCCUCCCAAAGUGUGGGAUUACAGGUGUGAGCCACCACACCUGGCCUCAGUGUAAAAUUUUUGUUCCUCAUGUCCCUCAUGUAAGACAGAGGUAUAUAGAAGUGCCUAUCUGAGCACACAGCAGGGUCUCCUAGCCCAAAUACAGGAGUGAGGGGAGACUUCCUGGAGGAGAUAAUUCUGAGCUGAGUCUUAAGGGUUUAUAGGAAUUAUUCCGAUGGAGAAGAGGUUAAGGAUUGCCACACAAAAGAUGCAACUAGAUCAAAGACUUUGAGAGUGAGAGGGAACAUGGACAAUUGAGGAGCUGCCAGUAAUUCAGUGUGGCUGAAGCUCAAAUUCACGAUGGAAAGUUGAAGGAGAUGAUGCUGGAAAGACACAAAUGUACCAGAUGAUAAAGGACCUUGCAUGUCACACUGUGGGAGUUUAGAUACAAGGUGAACAUAAGAGUUGUGAUGACUCAGGUUUUCAACUUGGGUCACUGGUGAGGAGUGGGGACAUAAGGGGCAAUGCAGAAGAAAGAGCUUUGGAUGAUAAUGGUGGGUUUAUGUUUUGACAUAAUGAGUGCAGGCAUGUCUUGGAGACAGCUGGAUAUACGAGUCUGGAGAUCAGAAGAGAAAUUGGUCAAGAUAAUGAAUGUGGGAGUUGUGAACAUACAGCUUGUAUCCAUGGGUAGGGACGAGUCCACUGCAGGAGAGCGUAUAGAAUGAAAAGAGAACAAAGCUAAGAAUAGAAUCCAGAGAAACUGUUUUCUUUAAAGAAUAAAUCAGUGGAGGAGAAAAUGAAAAUCUUGUGUCAUGGUGCCAAGGAAAAAAGAAGUUUCAAGAAGACAGAUUGGGGCAGCAAUUGCAAAUACCACAGAGAGGACAAAUUAAUUAAGCAUGAAUUCAUGAACAAGGGGAUCAUUACUAUUACCAAAAAUGUUGCACAGCAGCAGAGAGAAUAAUGACAGUGACCACGUUUGAGCGUCAUCUUGGUGUGUCAGGUACUCGGCAUGUUAUAUAUGUCACCAUAUUUAAAUUGCACAUUAACAAUUUACAGAUCAGGUAACUAAGGCUUCAGCAGAUUAAGUGUCUCAUCCAAAGCUGUUCUGCUAUCCAGUGACUGUCAGAUCUAAAUGACUCCAACGUCUCUCCAUCACUCUUCCUAAGAGAAUGCAAACUAUAAGAGAGAAGAUACAUGACACAGCAGAACUUUGCCUAGUGGCAUCAUGGACUAGGAGUUGUGAACGAAAUAAAGACUGCGACACUUUCGUCUUCUUUUGGAACCGGGAUAGGAAAUUCCCCCAUUCAAUAGUGCCAUUGUGGGUGAUUCGAAUAAGCUGGUGGAAGAUGUGAGAGCUAGCUGGCUGGAACUGCCACGUCACAGUGAGUGGCACCUUGAGGUCAGAGUAACCGGCCCUCACGACACAGGACAGGUCAAAGGUGUUGGUUAACAUCACUUGCGGCUGACGGCUCAUCAGACUAACUUGUAAACUUGACUCUAGACAGAAAAAUGAAACAGAAUUUCUAAUAUAUUUACCAGAUUAAAAUAUAGCACUUUCAAGUUUUUCUAGUUGCCACCUCUUUGACUAGGACCAUGCAUUUGUACAUUUGGAGUUUCCUAUUUUAUAGAGUAGAAAUUGAUUCCCAGUACAGUCUGUCCUGAACUGUGACCUCAAUUUUGCAAAGUUGAUCCUUUUCUAAGACUGUUCCCAGCAGCCACAACAAAUAGGCAGUGUUUCUCCAAUCUGCUACUUAGACAGCUGCUGCUGAGUGGGUGGAGCACUCCCCACCCUAGUCGUCUGGCCUCCUU